UACAGAGGUCCCAAGCGUUGUUCGGAUUCACUGGGCGUAAAGGGCGCGUAGGCGGCCCACUAAGUCAGACGUGAAAUCCCCCGGCUUAACCUGGGAACUGCGUCUGAUACUGGAGGGCUUGAGUAUGGGAGAGGGAUGUAGAAUUCCAGGUGUAGCGGUGAAAUGCGUAGAUAUCUGGAGGAAUACCGGUGGCGAAGGCGGCAUCCUGGACCAUUACUGACGCUGAGGCGCGAAAGCUAGGGGAGCAAACGGG
rnacentral:rRNA from 1 species